AGUUAGUUUUAUUCUUGCUGAUUUGUUUAGUGUCCCUUUACUUUAUAUGUAAGUUGUUGCGUGAUUUUAUUUAGUGCUUCUUAAUGGGGGACUAUGAUGUAGAGGAUAGUUAGGAGUUAGUCGCAUUAUUUAUUAUUAUAUAUUUUGGUCUUUUAGAUUUAGUAAUAGGGGUUAGUUGUGGCUAAGUUUGUGCCAGCAGCCGCGGUUAUACAUUAAUUGCUAUUGAACAUUAUUGGUUAUGUAGUUAUAUUAAAGGAGUAGAAAACAAUUACUUGGGCUUGAUAUUGAAUUGGUUUAUUAGGUGGAAUUAUUUUAUUUUUGAUUAUUGCCUUGUUUGUUUAUUGCAGGCUAUGAAAUCUUUCUGUUAAACUAGGAUUAGAUACCCUAUUAUUUUUGACAUUAAUUUAAUUUCCUGGGUAGUAUUAGGUAUGGUCUUGAAACCUAAAGAAUUUGGCGGUGCCCUAUUCCUUUCAGAGGAAUCUGCCCUGUAAUCGAUGAUCCACGUUGGACCUUACUUAAUUUUUUGUUUGUAUACCGUCGUUAUAGCGAGGAUCUUUGUAGUGUUGGAAUUCUCUGGAUCCAUAAUUUUGUUUUAUUUCAGGUCAAGGUGCAGCUUGUUUUUGAGUGUGAGGUGGAUUACAUUGUGUUUUUUGAUUUUGGAGUAUUGGAUGUAUAUCUGGUAGGAAAAUGGAUUUGAUUGUAAUCUGAUGAAGAUUAUUUUUAUGAUAUUGGUUCUAGGGCAUGCACACAUCGCCCGUCGCUCUCAUUCUGUUGAGAUAAGUCGUAACAAAGUGGUCGUACCGGAAGGUGCGGCUGGAAUGUC
rnacentral:ncRNA from 1 species